GUCGAAGUAGGGAUCAGAUUCACAACAUAUUUUCAUAAACAUCACAACUCAUGGAGAAUUUCAAUAAUUUCUGUACAAAAACAGUGAUCUGCAAGCUCCUCGCGCCUCCUCGGGCAAUACUCCAUUCACGAAGAAAGGCAGAGCGCCACAGAAGUCUACGAGAUGGACAACACCACAACGUAGGCUGGUGAUGCUCUUUUGACAGGCACAUCCGGGAAAAAAUGAGUGUGAGCGUGAUGAUGAAACGUAGCUGGAAAAACGUGAAGGAUUUUGUGAAGAAUUUAGAGCAAAAAAAUGGGUGCUCAUCCUUGAGGUUUAUGCAUAACUCAACUCAUUUAUGAUGUAAAUGAUCACAUUUACAUAUUAGAUAUCAUUAUUAUACAGGGUUUUCAGAUGAUUAUAGGGCAUUAUCAGCCACGAUGUCCAGGCAGACUUCACUAUACAAUACAGAUGCUAUCAUUGGUUCAGUAUUCCUCUUAUAGAGGCAUAAUCUGCAUGAAAAAACGCACUGACCGGCUUGGCGGUUUAGGAAAUCUGUAUUUUCAUGAAAUGCAAGGAUGGCGCUCGAUGACCAAUAAAAUUGAUAUACACAUUCAAAGGCAAGGAAAACUAGAGAGAUCCUCCAACUACGCUGGUUUUCUUUACAACCAGACAUUUGGGAAAACACUAAGAGAAAACAACACGUUCACCUUUGCACUGUCUCCAAGCUCGAACACAACCAUUUGUCCCGUUGCUAACUUGAAGCUUUAUUUCCGCAUUGCAAAAGCCAUGGGUGUAGAUCUGUGACUGGGUUAUCUCUUCCGGUCUUCUGAUCAGCAUAGGCGUAUCGCUCCCAACCCCUUGAAGAGCCCUCUCGUAGCCAAACGCCUCCGAGAACACCUCACAACGUUAUCCCUUCACGCAGUAGAGACUACGCACAGUCUUCGGGCAGGCUGUUCCAUCAUGCUAUCUCUGUUAGGUGCUUCUGAUGAGGAGGUAGCUGAGCAUGU